CAGUAGGGUGCUUGUCAUCUGUAACAUGUUAAGCCUUACCACCCACAGAGUGGUACGGACACAGUAGGGUGCUUGUCAUCUGUAACAUGUUAAGCCUUACCACCCACAGAGUGGUACGGACACAGUAGGGUGCUUGUCAUCUGUAACAUGUUAAGCCUUACCACCCACAGAGUGGUACGGACACAGUAGGGUGCUUGUCAUCUGUAACAUGUUAAGCCUUACCACCCACAGAGUGGGUACGGACACAGUAGGGUGCUUGUCAUCUGUAACAUGUUAAGCCUUACCACCCACAGAGUGGUACGGACACAGUAGGGUGCUUGUCAUCUGUAACAUGUUAAGCCUUACCACCCACAGAGUGGUACGGA